rnacentral:misc_RNA from 1 species
GAUGAAGAACGUAGCGAAACGCGAUAGGUAAUGUGAAUUGCAGAAUUCAGUGAAUCAUCGAAUCUUUGAACGCACAUUGCGCCCGCCAGUAUUCUGGCGGGCAUGCCUGUUCGAGCGUCAUUUCAACCAUCAAGCCCCCGGCUUGUGUUGGGGACCUGCGGCUGCCGCAGGCCCUGAAAUGCAGUGGCGGGCUCGCUGUCACUCCGAGCGUAGUAGUUACAUCUCGCUCUGGGCGUGCUGCGGGUUCCGGCCGUUAAAAGCCUUAUUUACCCAAGGUUGACCUCGGAUCAGGUAGGAAGACCCGCUGAACUUAAGCAUAUCAAUAAGCGGAGGA